UUAAUCCCCUGUCCAGUUCGGCAUUCGUUAAUUUUCGAAAUAGUGGAGUGAUUCAAUGGCCCGUAUUGCAGGGGUAAACAUUCCGAAC
rfam:Dechloromonas aromatica RCB, complete genome.